CUUGUUUUAGAGAGAGAGAUAUCUAUGAGACAAAACGGAGAGUUCACAAAGUGUAGCAGCUAUGACAUGGAUAAACAUGAACCAAUUACUACUAUUCUCAGCAAUUUUUCGACUCAUUUUGAUAAUUUAUGGAGAAUGGCAAGAUACCCAUAUGGAAGUUAGAUAUACAGAUGUGGAUUACCUUGUCUUUUCUGAUGCUGCCUCGUUAAUGGCUUCCGGAGAAUCCCCUUACAAAAGAAGUACUUACCGGUAUUCACCUUUGCUCGCUUUUCUGCUCAUAC
rnacentral:misc_RNA from 1 species